rnacentral:rRNA from 1 species
AGUGAACGCUGGCGGUAGGCCUAACACAUGCAAGUCGAACGGCAGCACAGUAAGAGCUUGCUCUUACGGGUGGCGAGUGGCGGACGGGUGAGGAAUACAUCGGAGUCUACUUUUUCGUGGGGGAUAACGUAGGGAAACUUACGCUAAUACCGCAUACGACCUACGGGUGAAAGCAGGGGAUCUUCGGACCUUGCGCGAUUGAAUGAGCCGAUGUCGGAUUAGCUAGUUGGCGGGGUAAAGGCCCACCAAGGCGACGAUCCGUAGCUGGUCUGAGAGGAUGAUCAGCCACACUGGAACUGAGACACGGUCCAGACUCCUACGGGAGGCAGCAGUGGGGAAUAUUGGACAAUGGGCGCAAGCCUGAUCCAGCCAUAACGCGUGGGUGAAGAAGGCCUUCGGGUUGUAAAGCCCUUUUGUUGGGAAAGAAAAGCAGCAGGUUAAUACCCCGCUGUUCUGACGGUACCCAAAGAAUAAGCACCGGCUAACUUCGUG